rnacentral:ribozyme from 13 species
CAAAUGUGAAGGACACAAAACAAGAAGACUACACAUAGAAGAAAAAAAGACAGACAGAAGAAGGAAGAAAAAAUAUUUUUUCACCCCCUCUUUGUUCAACUUUCCUUCUUUCUUUCUUAGCAAGAAUCCUUUUCUUUUUUCUU